rnacentral:rRNA from 1 species
UGGGGAAUUUUGGACAAUGGGCGAAAGCCUGAUCCAGCAAUGCCGCGUGUGUGAAGAAGGCCUUCGGGUUGUAAAGCACUUUUGUCCGGAAAGAAAUCCUUGGCUCUAAUACAGUCGGGGGAUGACGGUACCGGAAGAAUAAGCACCGGCUAACUACGUGCCAGCAGCCGCGGUAAUACGUAGGGUGCAAGCGUUAAUCGGAAUUACUGGGCGUAAAGCGUGCGCAGGCGGUUUGCUAAGACCGAUGUGAAAUCCCCGGGCUCACCUGGGAACUGCAUUGGUGACUGGCAGGCUAGAGUAUGGCAGAGGGGGUAGAAUUCCACGUGUAGCAGUGAAAUGCGUAGAGAUGUGGAGGAAUACCGAUGGCGAAGGCAGCCCCCUGGGCCAAUACUGACGCUCAUGCACGAAAGCGUGGGGAGCAAACAGGAUUAGAUACCCUGGUAGUCCACGCCCUAAACGAUGUCAACUAGUUGUUGGGGAUUCAUUUCCUUAGUAACGUAGCUAACGCGUGAAGUUGACCGCCUGGGGAGUACGGUCGCAAGAUUAAAACUCAAAGGAAUUGACGGGGUCAUAGCUGUUUCCU